rfam:Myotis brandtii contig283999, whole genome shotgun sequence.
GGGCUCCCAUGAUGUUCAGCACUGGGUUCCGAUCACCCCUGAGGACACAGUGCUCCUGAGACCUUUAACACAUGGGGGUCCAAGUGGUCC